CUACGGAGAUACGAUGGCCGAUUUACUUUAUCUUAGUGUUUAGGAGAGUGCUUUAGGAUAGUACUUUAGUUGAAACAUGUAAACGCUACUUGCUUUAGUACGGUUCUACUUGACUUUCAAGUUGAAUCAAAAUAGAAUCGCUUUUUAUUUUUGUUUCAAGUGAUACCCCUCCCGCGCCCGCGCACCCCCCGAGAUCUUCCCUCGUUCUCGUUGUGUGUAAACUGUAAACACGUAAAUUAGUAAAAUCUUUAGGAGAGUGCAUAAGUGCCGUGAACGGUGAAACGCGUUUUUGAUUUUAAAGAUGGCUAAAUGGUCGGAAGAUACAACUAUCAAAUUUGUGUCUGAAUAUGUGGUUCACGAAUGUUUGUGGAACAUUAAAAACCUAGCAUAUAAAAACAAACAGGCUAGGCAUUCGGCAUACACUGCCUUAAAAGAAGCUAUGGGUAUUCCUGGCUUCGACGUUAACGCGGUUAUCACAAAAAUUAAAAACAUAAGAUCAACUUAUUCACAAGAGGUAAAGAAAAUUAACGACUCAAUGAAAUCUGGAGCUGGAGCAGAUUCCAUAUACAAGCCGAAUGUAAAAUGGUUCGACAUACUACACGAUGUGUUACAAAGCGUAAACCUAGAAAAUAGAAAGACGCAGAGUAAUAUGAAUACCAUUGAGGAUAAAGAAAACAUGGAGGAGAAUCAAGAUGCUCGAAAUUAUGCGCUUGUUUGUAUUGACGAUAGGCCAGUUUCUGAUCUAACCCGCCCUUCAAGAAAAAGAAAUAUGAGAGGUCUGAAUUCACUUCUAGACAAAGCAAAAGUAGUGGUAAGCGAGCUCAACAAUGCGAGAUCAAUGAUCGAAAAAGAAGGCACAAACGAAUUCGAAUUGUUUGGCAAAAGUGUUGGCGUCCAUCUAAACUCCAUGAGUUUAGAAAAUGCUUUGCGGGCGCAAAGCGUGAUACAGACCUAUCUUACUAAUGUGCGAUUGCAGGAAUUAAAAACCUGCAAUCGCACUUCUGUUGUUCCUACACCAUCUCCGAGUUAUGUGCGUACACCAUCUCCGAGUUAUCUGUCUACACCAUCUCCGAGCUAUGUGCCUACACAAACCACUUCUGAGCAUACGUCUACUCAAGAAGCUCCUACAGAUAGUGGACAAUCAUCUAUGUCUGACAUACCUCACUCUGAGCUUAUUGUGACAAAUACUCCUAAUAUUUCAUCUGAUAAAGCACAUUUCAGCCACGACGCUGCAAUAAAUCUUGAUAGGGGUGAUUUGCUUGAUCUUAGUGACCAACAAACUGCAGCUCAACAAAAUAAUGAUACCUUAUCACAGGCUAUGACAAAUAUUCCUAUGUACACAUUGAACAAAAUACAUUGAUUAGUAAUUUUUUUCGAUGUCUACAUAGGAUUAAAUAGAUAUAAAUAAAUAUUUCAUUGUUUCAAAGUAUUAUGUGAUUUAUUAUUAAAGUUUUAUAAAGUUAUGUGACAAAAUUACCCAGUUUCAAGUACAUUGAUUUGUAAUUUUGUUUGAUGUCUACAUAGGAUUAAAUAGAUAUAAAUAAAUAUUUCAUUGUUUCAAAGUAUUAUGUGUGUUAUGUGAUUUAUUAUUAAAGUUUUAUAAAGUUAUGUGACGAAAUUACCCAGUUUCAAGUAUUAAAGUUAUGUGAUUUAAUAUAACUA